rnacentral:rRNA from 1 species
CGGAGAGGGAGCAUGAGAAACGGCUACCACUUCUAAGGAAGGCAGCAGGCGCGCAAAUUACCCAAUCCUGACUCAGGGAGGUAGUGACAAGAAAUAACAAUAAACCGGCUUAUGCCGGUUUAAUUGGAAUGAGUACAAUUUAAACAUCUUAACGAGGAACAAUUGGAGGGCAAGUCUGGUGCCAGCAGCCGCGGUAAUUCCAGCUCCAAUAGCGUAUACUAAAGUUGUUGCAGUUAAAAAGCUCGUAGUUGGAUUUCUGCGGGGACGGAGCGGCCGGUCGCAACUUGCGACUCGAGCUAGCGCUUUUUUUGCAUCCUGCCGCGAACCGUGCUACCAUUAGUUUGGUGGCGCUGGGGAUCGGCUCGAUUACUUUGAGAAAAAUAGAGUGUUCAAAGCAGGCCACACGCCUUGAAUAAGUUAGCAUGGAAUAAUGACUAAGGACUUUGGUUCUUUUCGUUGGUGUUCGGGACUGAAGUAAUGAUUGAUAGGGACAGCUGGGGCGGUCCGUAUUCCAAAGCGAGAGGUGAAAUUCUUAGACCUUCGGAAGACGAACAGCUGCGAAAGCGUUCCGCAAGGAUGUUCCCUUUGAUCAAGGACGAAAGUUGGGGGAUCGAAGACGAUCAGAUACCGUCGUAGUCUCAACUAUAAACUAUACCAGCUAGGGAUCGGCCAACGUUUAACUAUUCGACUUGGUCGGCACCUUAUGAGAAAUCAAAGCAUCUGGGUUCCGGGGGUAGUAUGGUCGCAAGGCUGAAACUUAAAGGAAUUGACGGAAGGGCACCACCAGCCGUGGAGCCUGUGGCUUAAUUUGACUCAACACGGGAAAACUUACUAGGUCCGGACAUAGUGAGGAUUGACAGAUUGAUAGCUCUCUCUUGAUUCUGUGGGUGGUGGUGCAUGGCCGUUUUUAGUCGGUGGAUGUGAUCUGUCUGCUUAAUUGCGUUAACGGACGAGACCCCAGCCUGCUAAAUAGCGCGGCCGAGCUUUGCUCGGUGCGAGCUUCUUAGAGGGACCAUGAUGCGCGAUAGCACAAGGAAGUUUGGGGCAACAACAGGUCUGUGAUGUUCUUAGAUGUUCUGGGCCGCACACGGGCUACACUGGCGCCUGCAACGAGCAUAUCAGCUGGCCCGAGAGGGUCUUGGCUAAUCUUUGGAACCGGCGCCGUGCUUGGGAUUGACCAUUGCAAUUGUUGGUCAUGCAACGAGGAAUGCCUUGUAAACGCGAGUCAUCAGCUCGCAUUGAACACGUCCCUGCCCUUUGUACACACCGCCCGUCGCUCCUACCGAUGAAUGUUCCGAUGAAAUUUUCGGAGAGCACCAGAGAACGGGGCUCUGCCUUGCAGAUCUGGAGGCUCAAAGUCACUUAAAUCUGAACAUUUUGAGGAAGGAGAAGUCGUAACAAGGUAACC